CCGCCUCUUGCGGCAAGUGGAGGGGGGUGCGGCGCCGGUGCCAGCCUCUUGCAGAGCCGGGCGCCUCGCGCAGGCGCGCUGCCCGCGCCGCCGGAAGUGACGGUUCCGGCCCGUGUCACGUGGAAGAGGGACGGUGGGGACAUCAUGUGUUCCAGACUCCCUUCCCGAGAGAAUCGGUUUUCCGGGCGCCCCGGAGCGUGGGCGGAGGAGCAGCGCGGAGCUCGCAGGUUCCCGUAAGGCGACUUGCAAAGCCCAGGUGUCCUCGCACUGUACCGGAUGUUUGCACUCGGAAGCGUUCUGCGGUUUAAGAAUUACUUAGGAGAGAGCUUUAAAAAGCCCUCUUUCUGCAGUGUGGGAGCCGUGCGAUUGUGUUCAGAGCAGGUAUUAGAUCAUUUUUAAAGAUCGUGAAUCGCUGUUGCCUGGGAAAGCUUAACCCAGGCGCCCAAGGUCACGCAGCUGGGCAGAUAGUUGGCCGGGAGCAUCAAAAUUCUUAGUUCCUCGCUUUGAGCCAUUCUGAUUAGGAUCAGAUCCUUACAGUCUAGCAGGUUUAGGACUGUUAGGAAGCCGCAGUUUCUGGUCCCACCCUCACAAAAAGAUUUGCCUAUCUGAAAAAGAAUGCCUCGUUGCUUCACUUUCGCCGGCACGGGAAUGUGGCUAGAAGGCAUUUGGGAGUGGAAGGGAUGGCAAAAUAUAGAGAAUGUGGACAGAUAGAAGGGGAAUUAUCGCUCCGGCCCACUUUCUGGCGGCUUUAACUCUGUGGAGGUGGAGUCAGAUGCAGCCUGAGCUGGCCUGGAACUCAUUACAUACCCGAGCCAGUCUUGAACUUGUGAUCUUCCUUUCUCUGCCACUGUCCCCCAAGUACUGGGAUUAUGAUCAUGUAUCACUACCAGGCCUGGCUUGGCCUCCUUUCUGUAUGUAGAAAGCAGGUGUGGCUCAAGUCUAAUCCUCGCUGAAACAGGAACGCCAUAAACUGGAGGCCAGCCUGGAGUGCAUGGCAAGAUCCUUUAUUGGAAAAGUAAUUACUGAAAGGUUCCAAUUUCUUAAGCCAAAAAUCUAGAUUUUUUUUUUCUCCACCUGGAAUGAAGCAUUUCUCCAGUUUUCUCAAAUAUAGGCCUGAUAGUGUUUCUGGACUCCCUAGCACACCUGUGAAAGUAGACGAAUGUGAUACUAUGUGCAGCCUUAUUUCCUUAUCUUACUUUUUUUUUUUCGGUUUUUUUGUUUUUUUUCGAGAUAGGGUUUCUCUGUGUAGCUUUGCGCCUUUUCUGGAACUUGCUUUGUAGACCAGGCUGGCCUCGAACUCACAGAGAUCCGCCUGCCUCUGCCUCCCAAGUGCUGGGAUUAAAGGCGUGGGCCACCACCGCCAAACUCCUUAUCUUACUUUUAAUGAGAUACAGGCAGAAUCAUCAGGAAAUGCGAUUAAGCAAAAGACUUUCAGCUUAUAAAUCCUCUGUUCUUUCUUCUCUGGUAUUUGAAGAGAAGCUGUUUCUCCAGCGCUGCUCCAGAUUUAGGCAUUGCUGCUGCAUAACCCACUAAACUGACGUUCUUCGUCCAAAGACCUGACCUUUAAAGAACAUUCCAGCUCAGUGGAAGUCGGAUUAUAUGUCAGAUGAUUGAUGUGCUGUGGCACUUGGGAGUUUCCAUUUAGAAAUGAGCUGGCCAUGUUCCUUACUGUGAGGAGUCGUCGAAGUCUCUCUCCUCCGACAGUUAGUCGAGCUGUGUUUUUCAAGCAGAAUACUGGAGAAAUUUAGUCGUUUCGUGCGACCCCAAACGGGAUUCAGCUUCACAGUUUGGGCCUCAUACAACUUAACCUCAUCAGAACACUAGAAUAAAAUCUAUAAUCAUAAUGCCGUCGUUGUUUUGGUAAGGAACAUCAUUUCCUUGAUUUCUCCCCCCCCCCCCCAAUCCUGGCUUGGGAUUUUGGAAGUUAAUGUUUAGGACCUUGCUGAACACUGUGGACACCACCAAGGCCUCUGUUGGAUUGUCAGCAAAUCUGAAAUUUUAAUGUCCUCUGGUCAUCAUGGAUUAUUCUGUAACAGUCAAUAAAUGUUGUUUUGAAAAUA